UGGGGAAUAUUGCACAAUGGGGGAAACCCUGAUGCAGCGACGCCGCGUGAGCGAUGAAGGCUUUCGAGUCGUAAAGCUCUGUCCUAUGGGAAGAUAAUGACGGUACCAUAGAAGAAAGCCCCGGCUAAUUACGUGCCAGCAGCCGCGGUAAUACGUAAGGGGCGAGCGUUGUCCGGAAUUAUUGGGCGUAAAGAGUGCGUAGGCGGCAAAUUAAGUCAGAUGUGAAAACUAAGGGCUCAACCCAUAGAUUGCAUCUGAAACUGAUAUGCUUGAGUCAAGGAGAGGAAAGUGGAAUUCCUAGUGUAGCGGUGGAAUGCGUAGAUAUUAGGAGGAAUACCGGUGGCGAAGGCGACUUACUGGGCUCAUUCUGACGCUGAGGAACGAAAGCGUGGGUAGCAAACAGG
rnacentral:rRNA from 1 species